rnacentral:rRNA from 1 species
GAGUUUGAUUAUGGCUCAGGAUGAACGCUGGCGGCAUGCCUAACACAUGCAAGUCGAACGGGGACGAGAGAAUGGAGAGCUUGCUCAAAGUUUUCGAAAUCCUAGUGGCGGAUGGGUGAGUAACACGUGAGCAACCUGCCCUUGACAGGGGAAUAACAGUGGGAAACCACUGCUAAUACCGCAUAACGUCUUCGAGUGGCAUCACUUGAAGACCAAAGGAGAAAUCCGGUCAAGGAUGGGCUCGCGUCCGAUUAGUUAGUUGGUGAGGUAAAGGCUCACCAAGACCGCGAUCGGUAGCCGGACUGAGAGGUCGAACGGCCACAUUGGGACUGAGACACGGCCCAGACUCCUACGGGAGGCAGCAGUGGGGAAUAUUGGGCAAUGGGCGCAAGCCUGACCCAGCAAUGCCGCGUGAAGGACGAAGGCCUUCGGGUUGUAAACUUCUUUGAUCAGGGACGAAAGCAAUGACG